ACGGGUGAGUAACACGUAUCCAACCUGCCGUCUACUCUUGGCCAGCCUUCUGAAAGGAAGAUUAAUCCAGGAUGGCAUCAUGAGUUCACAUGUCCGCAUGAUUAAAGGUAUUUUCCGGCAGACGAUGGGGAUGCGUUCCAUUAGAUAGUAGGCGGGGUAACGGCCCACCUAGUCAACGAUGGAUAGGGGUUCUGAGAGGAAGGUCCCCCACAUUGGUACUGAGACACGGACCAA
rnacentral:rRNA from 1 species